AAGACCGUAUGCAAUCAACUAUUGUCCCAAUCACCUAAUUUCUAUCUACCCAAGCAGAUUUAAAUAAAUAUUUCCCAGAGUUGUGUUAGCCAACCUCGGAAACCAAAUUACAACGCCAAAUUCUUCUCCGAUGAUGUCAUAGGAAAACUACGGGGGAGGAAUUGGGGCUGAGGUGAAUGAGCUGGAUGCUGAUGGUAAACCUGUGUAUAUGUAACAGUUUGGUGUUUUAACGAAAGGGCGAGAAUAACUUUUAAUAGAAUUUAGGAGUAAGAUAGAAACUAAAACCAAUAUUAAAUCAGACGGUAACGUUAGAAGAAAAUUUGCGAGAAAAGUAAU
rnacentral:sRNA from 1 species